rnacentral:rRNA from 1 species
UAGUAACGGCGAGUGAAGCGGGAUGAGCUCAAGCUUAAAAUCUCCGUGCAAGUUUUGCACGGCGAAUUGUAGUCUAUAGAAGCGUGGUCAGCGUGGGCGCUUGGGGCAAGUUCCUUGGAAGAGGACAGCAUGGAGGGUGAUACUCCCGUUUAUCCCCGAGUGGCUCGUGCGUAAGACCCGUUUUCUUUGAGUCGCGUUGUUUGAGAAUGCAGCGCAAAGUAGGUGGUAAAUUCCAUCUAAAGCUAAAUAUUGGUGCGAGACCGAUAGCGAACAAGUACCGUGAGGGAAAGAUGAAAAGAACUUUGAAAAGAGAGUUAAAGAGUACCUGAAACUGCUGAAAGGGAACCGGAUCGUUUCCAGUGUCUAUAAUCCGUGGUAUAUUUCAUUGGCGAUCGUGUGCGUGCGUGUGCUAUGGCAGCGGCUUUUUGCUGCGCUUGGCGCGUGUGCUGUGCGUGUUUGCUGGUGCCCUGUGCUGCGGUGGGACGUCAAGGUCAGUUCGUAUGCUGCGGGAAAUGGCUGCCGAGGAGGUAGGGCUUACGCUUGCGUUUGUCUGUUAUAUCUUGGUGGACGAGUCGUCGCGGUUGGGACUGAGGUGCCUAUAACGUGCUUUUGAGUGAGACUGUGUCUCCGUGUGCGCCGUGUGCGGAUAGCUUGCUAUGUGUGUGUGGUUGUGUGUGGAUUGAUGCGG